CUACGGGAGGCUCCAGUGGGGAAUCUUAGACAAUGGGGGAAACCCUGAUCUAGCCAUGCCGCGUGAGUGACGAAGGCCCUAGGGUCGUAAAGCUCUUUCGCCGGGGAAGAUAAUGACGGUACCCGGUAAAGAAGUCCCGGCUAACUCCGUGCCAGCAGCCGCGGUAAUACGGAGGGGACUAGCGUUGUUCGGAAUUACUGGGCGUAAAGCGCGCGUAGGCGGACUAUUAAGUCAGGGGUGAAAUCCCGGGGCUCAACCCCGGAACUGCCCUUGAUACUGGUAGGCUUGAGUUCGAGAGAGGUGAGUGGAACUCCGAGUGUAGAGGUGAAAUUCGUAGAUAUUCGGAAGAACACCAGUGGCGAAGGCGGCUCACUGGCUCGAUACUGACGCUGAGGUGCGAAAGCGUGGGGAGCAAACAGGAUUAGAUAUCCGAGUAGUC
rnacentral:rRNA from 1 species